AGCAGCAUGGCCAAGUGGAAAGAGCCCGGGUCUGGGAGUCGGAGGAUCUGGGUUCUAAUCCCAGUUCUGCUA
rnacentral:tRNA from 1 species